CGAAGAUAUGCGGAAAGCAGGUAUCCGAGACGGAGGUACGCGGCUCACUGCCUCUAAGAACGAGAACCGCCUUUUUCUUUGUUUCAAGAACCAUCGCGGAUGGCCGGCUGAUCAAGGAGGUUUAUAAGUGGAAUCAAUAAGCUGUUCUGGAGCUCACAGCCGCCGAAAGUUUAUAAACUCCUUGGUUCCACCGGUAGUUCUGAGGCAGCGUUAGACUGUAGAGAAUGAUUGAAAAAGCAAAGAAGUCGUCCGCUUCAUUGGGAGGGAUCAGAAAGGGGCAGUUUUCUGCGACAAAGAGCUUGCGUUUUACGGCAUCAGGAUUGGUAAUUCGAAGAAUUCUUGCUAAUUCAGCAAGAUGCUUCGUGAAGAUAUCGACUCUUGCAUGCUCCUCAUCUCCCAGACCAGCCCGUAGAGCGGAUGUGCUGCCAUGAGUGGAAGAGGCUGAACCCCGGGACGUUGACUCGAGUGCUGUCACGAAACUGGGACCACCAGAUGACGAAGGCUGAGAAUGACCUGGGUGUGCUUCUCCUGUUGCUCCGUAGCCUGGCCCCGCCCUGAGAUGUCUUUCCCUAUCCCUCGGUGGGGAAGAAGCAUGACGCCAUUUGUUCGGCUCAAAUCCAGGAAAGUAUGUACUGUCCCCCGCUGCCGUUGUUGUUGGGAGGACACUUUUUCGUCGAAUCGCGAGUUCGUGUAUUCGGGGUUGGGUCGUGUGGGAAAAACCUCCGAAAGAUAUAGUUGUAGAUGUUGGACUAUUUACUGACGCACGCUGAUUUCCCUCUUCCAUGACGUUAUGGACAGGCCCUCGAGCGAGGCGGUGACGGGAUAUCGUGAGCUCGAUAUCGUGCACCAUGUCUCUGCAAAGAUCACUAAGGAUGUUGAUACGCUUGCGAAACGGCUCGAGCCACGUGUCUAUGCUCAGCGUAGUUGCUUUGUCCACUCCCGGCUUCAACUCCGAGCACUCGUCACUCCUUUGAGCCCCCGAAAGGGUCUUUUUCGAAUCCGGGGAGGGCCGACUAAUGGCGGACCCCCGACGCGGUAAAGACGAAGUCAGCGUUGCCAGAGACGAGCUCUGACUGCACGGUGUCAAACGUCCUGUUACUUCUAUGCUCACGGGUUGAGGCAUUCGAGUAUCGUUGCCAUGACAAAGGACCCCUCUUUUAGUUAGGUUGUCCUCUUCUGUCACUAUGACAUCUUCUUGCUUUUCUUGGAAAGAAGAUAAACCUGUUCUGCCCGGCAGGCUGUUUCCCAUUCCGCCAUGAGACAGCUGAGGGUGAGCAUCUCCCAAACCAGGUGCUUUCGAAGAGAUUACUGCAGCAACUGAGUCUUCUGCUUGUGCUAAAUGUGGCCCCCCUGACGCACCAUAGUCGCCUCGUUUUCUUCUUCUAUGGAUGGCACUGAAGGUGGUCCAUGGCACCGAGUUUCCCCAUGUGAUACUGGUUGUGUCGCACUGCGACUUCAUCUGGCUACCGAGACCCUUCGCUGCCGACGGCGGUGGCGAGUGAUGAAACGGCCGGGCAGGUCUCUGUCGUUCUCGUAGCUUCGCGAUUGUGUUCGAAGAGUGACCUUCAUUCAAGUGAGGAGGUACGAUUCGGCAGCCGCGCAGCAGCUCUUUGCCACUACCAUACCGUUCUUCCAACUCCAGAGGGUCCGUGGUGUGACCGCUCCGGAGUGCAGACUGUCGGCUGGCCAGUGACGGUGUGGACAAUUUUCCACAGUUUUCACUGAAGCGACUUUGCCUUGUUUCCCUUCCAUUUCUCGGUGAUAAACAGCAGAAAGAGUCCGACUUGGACGGCCCCGCCCUUACUUGCAGACGAGGCAUUGGACCGCACCUGCUGCGGGGCAAAUCGCAACAAGACUAAAUGGCAGUGUUUUGUCUCCGGUGUAUCCAUAUGCACGCGUAAUGGAAAUGUUUGUUUGGCCGCAUUGAAAUUUUCUGUACUUUCGUGGAGACGUCCUCGGCCACAGCCGAAUGUAACACAAGGACAGGCUGUGACCCAGCGACUGCCUGCCGUAAUGAUUCAGUUCUCAAGUGAAUCAGCACGUGCCGUGUAGAGAUGAACGUCCUACAGGUUUUUUCAGCUGGACGCACGGCCGUCUAGGAAUAAUUAGUGUUUUUACAUGUUUAGUCUGAAAAACAAAGAGAAUUCAAUUGAAGUCAUCGGGGUUCCGGGACAUCGCGAAACCAGCACUAAGCUCUCAUUUCUUUAACGGGCGAGACGCCAAUGCCUCCGUCCCCACUCCAACCAUAGAGCCGUACGAAAAACGUUAGCGUAUCGAACAAAGAUGAUACGUUGACGUCCGUGAUCCGUACCCUACAGGACUAAAAUGCAGUGUCCCUGGAUGGUAUCUUCUGGCGAGAGCCUGUAACGGGAACGAGUAAGAGGUACUUCCACUCCACUUUGUGCUACUCCAGGGUAUAGGGCUGGUGUUCGGGUGACUGAACACUGAAAUUUGCAGUAGGGGCUGUCCUAUUUGAGUUUGUGCAUGCGCAGACGAGUUUACUGCUUUCCGAAGACAGAUUUGGUUUCCAAAUGCAUCCGACAAAAUGUAAAUCUGGAGGCAGCAUAAAUUAUCGAUUCCUCGAUUUGUUUGGGUUUCGAAGUGCGCCAGGGAUUCCACCCUAGGGUGUGCAAAAAGGAGAUGGCUGAUGCCCGUCUAAUAAUAUUUUGACAUGCCUUCCCAAAGGUGACAAGGAAGGCGGCAAGUACGGCGGCAAACAAAGACAAUACCAUCCACUUUUGCUGUGAAACUGAAUGAUACCGCAUUACCAAACGCUUUGAAAUCCAAAGCUCGAGCGAAAGGGCAUGCAACUCGUUCGUACUAAGAACAUCUAGCACUAAGGCACGGGAAGAUACCGCCGUGAAUACGCCACGAGAUUUUACAAAGUGCAACUAUUGCUCGAGUACAAAAAUAUCCGUAUUUUGACUGAACUCGCUUCCACGGACAGUGGCACCAAGUGUGCAAUACUGUGCUGUCUUCAGGCCAGUUUAGACCGGAGACACACGAAUCGUUCAGGUCUCGCGGGAAUGCGAUACUCUUUGCACUCUUUCAGAAAAGAGAAGCGCUGUGCAAAUCCUUCCCUACGCACGGAGUCUCCUCCGUUCAAAGCAGGCUGCGAGCCCACAUCCGUAGCUAUGAUGGCCUGCGCGAGGCCAGUCCACAUUGCAUGAUGACCGUUCGUGCGGAAAACGUGGAACUACUAUCUUCAGCAAAAACACUUUGGUCGCAUGGUCCUCGUCGUAUUUUCCGCCAAUGCACAAAAAACAACCUUAUACCUCAGACCGCAGGUUUUGGAGUAAUACUGAGCCUCAUCUUUUGCGACGGAGCCUGAUGGUCAAAUCCUGAAAAAACUCCCGUUCUCCUAGAGCAUCUUUCAUCGUUCCUGUCUACGGUGUAUGCUGGUGGUACAAAGCUGCAGGAAUGAGACCGCGGGGCAGGUUGCUCCGCUAGUGGCAUUGUGUGGAGGUAUCUCAACUGGGC
rnacentral:lncRNA from 1 species